CGCCUAACACAUGCAAGUCGAACGAAGUAGCAAUACUUAGUGGCAGACGGGUGAGUAACAUGUAGGUAUCUACCCUUUGGCCUGGAAUAACACGAGGAAACUUGUGCUAAUACCGGAUAAGUCUUCACGGAGAAAGCUUUAUGCACCAUUGGAUGAGCCUGCACUUGAUUAGUUAGUUGGUAGGGUAAUGGCCUACCAAGACUUUGAUCAAUAGCUGAUUUGAGAGGAUGAUCAGCCACAUUGGGACUGAGACACGGCCCAAACUCCUACGGGAGGCAGCAGUGGGGAAUCUUGCACAAUGGAGGAAACUCUGAUGCAGCGAUGCCGCGUGAGUGAAGAAGGCCUUUGGGUUGUAAAGCUCUUUCGUCGGGGAAGAAAAUGACUGUACCCGAAUAAGAAGGUCCGGCUAACUUCGUGCCAGCAGCCGCGGUAAUACGAAGGGACCUAGCGUAGUUCGGAAUUACUGGGCUUAAAGAGUUCGUAGGUGGUUGAAAAAGUUGGUGGUGAAAUCCCAGAGCUUAACUCUGGAACUGCCAUCAAAACUUUUCAGCUAGAGUUUGAUAGAGGAAAGCAGAAUUUCUAGUGUAGAGGUGAAAUUCGUAGAUAUUAGAAAGAAUACCAAUUGCGAAGGCAGCUUUCUGGAUCAUUACUGACACUGAGGAACGAAAGCAUGGGUAGCGAAGAGGAUUAGAUACCCUCGUAGUCCAUGCCGUAAACGAUGUGUGUUAGACGUUGGAAAUUUAUUUUCUGUGUCGCAGCGAAAGCGAUAAACACACCGCCUGGGGAGUACGACC
rnacentral:rRNA from 1 species